AGCUUGGUGGUGCAAUGGUUAAGCACUUGGCUGCUAACCAAAAGGUUGGUGGUUUGAACCCACCAGCUG
rnacentral:tRNA from 1 species